AAUCGAUUACCAGAAAAGCCAUAAUCGAUUAUUUUACUACUUUGAAAAAUCUGAUGCUCACUACCUCAACAUAAUCGAUUAUCAUAAGGUACAUAAUCGAUUAUUUUGUAGCCUUGAAUAAUCUGGUGAACACUGCCUUAACAUAAUCGAUUAUCAUAAGGUACAUAAUCGAUUAUCUUUCAGCUUUGUAAAAUCUGGUGUACACUGCCUUAACAUAAUCAAUUAUCAAAAGGUACAUAAUCGAUUAUCUUUCAGCUUUGUAAAAUCUGGUGUACACUGCCUUAACAUAAUCGAUUAUC
rnacentral:lncRNA from 1 species